GACCUGUGACCAGAGCCCGGUGGUAAA
rnacentral:misc_RNA from 1 species